rnacentral:rRNA from 1 species
GACGAACGCUGGCGGCGUGCUUAACACAUGCAAGUCGAACGAAGUGGCGAACGGGUGAGUAACGCGUAAUCAACCUGCCCUUCAGAGGGGGACAACAGUUGGAAACGACUGCUAAUACCGCAUACUGAAGGAGGGGAUUGCGUCUGAUUAGCUAGUGGGAGGGGUAACGGCCCACCAAGGCGAUGAUCAGGAGCCGGGCUGGGAAGAUGAACGGCCACAUUGGGACUGGGACACGGCCCAGACUCCUACGGGAGGCAGCAGUGGGGAAUUGUCGGCAAUGGACGAAAGCCUGACUGAGCAAAGCCGCGGUAGUGAUGACGGCCUUCGGGUUGUAAAGCUCUGUUAAUCGGGACGCGGUACCGGAAUAGAAAGCCACGGCUAACUACGUGCCAGCAGCCGCGGUAAUAC